rnacentral:rRNA from 10 species
AGACCCGAAACCCGGUGAUCUAGCCAUGGGCAGGUUGAAGGUUGGGUAACACUAACUGGAGGACCGAACCGACUAAUGUUGAAAAAUUAGCGGAUGACCUGUGGCUGGGGGUGAAAGGCCAAUCAAACCGGGAGAUAGCUGGUUCUCCCCGAAAGCUAUUUAGGUAGCGCCUCGUGAAUUCAUCUCCGGGGGUAGAGCACUGUUUCGGCUAGGGGGCCAUCCCGGCUUACCAACCCGAUGCAAACUGCGAAUACCGGAGAAUGUUAUCACGGGAGACACACGGCGGGUGCUAACGUCCGUCGUGAAGAGGGAAACAACCCAGACCGCCAGCUAAGGUCCCAAAGUCAUGGUUAAGUGGGAAACGAUGUGGGAAGGCCCAGACAGCCAGGAUGUUGGCUUAGAAGCAGCCAUCAUUUAAAGAAAGCGUAAUAGCUCACUGGUCGAGUCGGCCUGCGCGGAAGAUGUAACGGGGCUAAACCAUGCACCGAAGCUGCGGCAGCGACGCUGAUGCGUUGUUGGGUAGGGGAGCGUUCUGUAAGCCUGUGAAGGUGGCCUGUGAGGGUUGCUGGAGGUAUCAGAAGUGCGAAUGCUGACAUAAGUAACGAUAAAGCGGGUGAAAAGCCCGCUCGCCGGAAGACCAAGGGUUCCUGUCCAACGUUAAUCGGGGCAGGGUGAGUCGACCCCUAAGGCGAGGCCGAAAGGCGUAGUCGAUGGGAAACGGGUUAAUAUUCCCGUACUUGGUGUUACUGCGAAGGGGGGACGGAGAAGGCUAUGUUGGCCGGGCGACGGUUGUCCCGGUUUAAGCGUGUAGGUGUGUGUUCCAGGUAAAUCCGGUU